CUAGCUUGGUUGAGAUUGUGGAAAGAGUAGAGUAGCUAAUUUUCAGAAAUGAAAGACCCCAUAGGAUACUAAUCAUUAGGCUUGGGAGGCAUUUGGAUAACCAUUUGUAGUAGCAAUGAACGGUAUCAAGGAUUUAGCAUCACUAUUUGUUGAGAUAUGUAAGUGUUAGAAUAAACCCUUCAGUAGUGGAAAACGGGGCUUUAGUCCAGGUUAGUAAGGACCGUUAGUCCCGGUUGUGCAACCGGAACUAAGGAAUCAUGACUAAAGGCCCUCCUUGUUAGUCUUGGUUGUGUUACGAACAGAGACUAAAGGGGCUCCACGUGGUCGCCGUGGAACUGCCAAGCAGGAGGACCUUUAGUCCCGGUUGGUAAUGCCAACCGGGACUAAAGCGAGCCCCGGGGUUUAUGUUUUUUUUCAAAAGGAGGGGUUUAGACUUUUCAUUUUUAUGUUAUGUUUUCCAUUCAACUACAUAUAGCAAUGAAAGAAUCAUUACAAAAGAUUGUCAUCAAUAUAGAGAAAUGACCUCUUUCUUCGUGCUUGGUCGAACAACAAAUUUGCGCAUAUACAUUCGACGCUACUAUGUAUAAUACACGUCCAUGCAUAUAUACAAUAUAAUAUCUCUUACGAUCCCUAAUAUCUAGUUAUCAAAAUU
rnacentral:lncRNA from 1 species